UACGUAGGCAGCAAGCGUUGUUCGGAAUUACUGGGCGUAAAGGGCGCGUAGGCGGCCUGCUAAGUCGAACGUGAAAUCCCCGGGCUCAACCCGGGAACUGCGUCCGAUACUGGCAGGCUUGAAUUCGGGAGAGGGAUGUGGAAUUCCAGGUGUAGCGGUGAAAUGCGUAGAUAUCUGGAGGAACACCGGUGGCGAAGGCGGCAUCCUGGACCGAGAUUGACGCUUAUGCGCGAAAGCCAGGGGAGCAAACGGG
rnacentral:rRNA from 1 species